GAUGAACGCUGGCGGCGUGCCUAAUACAUGCAAGUCGAGCGAACAGACGAGGAGCUUGCUCCUCUGACGUUAGCGGCGGACGGGUGAGUAACACGUGGAUAACCUACCUAUAAGACUGGGAUAACUUCGGGAAACCGGAGCUAAUACCGGAUAAUAUAUUGAACCGCAUGGUUCAAUAGUGAAAGACGGUUUUGCUGUCACUUAUAGAUGGAUCCGCGCCGCAUUAGCUAGUUGGUAAGGUAACGGCUUACCAAGCUAACGAUGCGUAGCCGACCUGAGAGGGUGAUCGGCCACACUGGAACUGAGACACGGUCCAGACUCCUACGGGAGGCAGCAGUAGGGAAUCUUCCGCAAUGGGCGAAAGCCUGACGGAGCAACGCCGCGUGAGUGAUGAAGGUCUUCGGAUCGUAAAACUCUGUUAUUAGGGAAGAACAAAUGUGUAAGUAACUAUGCACGUCUUGACGGUACCUAAUCAGAAAGCCACGGCUAACUACGU
rnacentral:rRNA from 1 species